CACCGGCGGCUCGAGUGGUGGCCACUUUUAUUGGGUCUAAAACGUCCGUAGCCGGCUUGGAAAGUCCCCUGGGGAAUCUGGCGGCUUAACCGUCAGGCGUCCAGAGGAUACUGCCAGGCUUGGGACCGGGAGAGGUGAGAGGUACCUCAGGGGUAGGGGUGAAAUCUUGUGAUCCCUGAGGGACCACCAGUGGCGAAGGCGUCUCACUAGAACGGGUCCGACGGUCAGGGACGAAAGCUGGGGGCACGAACCGG
rnacentral:rRNA from 1 species